rnacentral:rRNA from 1 species
AGGGAUCAUUGCUGGAACGCGCUUCGGCGCACCCAGAAACCCUUUGUGAACUUAUACCUAUUUGUUGCCUCGGCGUAGGCCGGCCUCUUCACUGAGGCCCCCUGGAAACAGGGAGCAGCCCGCCGGCGGCCAACUAAACUCUUGUUUCUAUAGUGAAUCUCUGAGUAAAAAACAUAAAUGAAUCAAAACUUUCAACAACGGAUCUCUUGGUUCUGGCAUCGAUGAAGAACGCAGCGAAAUGCGAUAAGUAAUGUGAAUUGCAGAAUUCAGUGAAUCAUCGAAUCUUUGAACGCACAUUGCGCCCUCUGGUAUUCCGGAGGGCAUGCCUGUUCGAGCGUCAUUUCAACCCUCAAGCCUGGCUUGGUGAUGGGGCACUGCCUUCUAGCGAGGGCAGGCCCUGAAAUCUAGUGGCGAGCUCGCUAGGACCCCGAGCGUAGUAGUUAUAUCUCGUUCUGGAAGGCCCUGGCGGUGCCCUGCCGUUAAACCCCCAACUUCUGAAAAUUUGACCUCGGAUCAGGUAGGAAUACCCGCUGAACUUAAGCAUAU